rnacentral:rRNA from 1 species
UGAGUAACACGUAUCCAACCUGCCGUCUACUCUUGGACAGCCUUCUGAAAGGAAGAUUAAUACAAGAUGGCAUCAUGAGUUCACAUGUUCACAUGAUUAAAGGUAUUCCGGUAGACGAUGGGGAUGCGUUCCAUUAGAUAGUAGGCGGGGUAACGGCCCACCCAGUCUUCGAUGGAUAGGGGUUCUGAGAGGAAGGUCCCCCACAUUGGAACUGAGACACGGUCCAA